UGACUCACAAAGCUACAUUUUUGGCUUUAAUGUGCUUUUAAUUCUAUUAACAGACUGCUGACUGUAGCUCUCUGAUAUACAUUACAUUUCUAAUGCUAGGGGGAUAAAUGGCCGUCCCUGUUCAUUCGUUAAUUGAUAAAUAACCCCUUACUUCACUUGCCUCCGUCCUCCUAUGUGAAAGCUGAAAACAUGUGAGGUCUGAAUUCAACAACAGGUCACGUGAUAUAUUUUCUGUUGAUGAUCACAAUGAACAACCAGCUGUUUCCUAAUGAUUUCUCUAAUGGAGUAAAAAGAUGUUUUAACGGACCAACGCUGUGUUCACAACAAUAGCAACAGUAAUGCAGCUGUAUCUCACAUGCAGAGUUGUCUGUUGUUUGCGUCUGUUCAACAUUAUAAUCUCCUUUUCCAAAUCAUAGCCGUCAUCUUCCAGCAGCCAAGUUGUUUUUCUGUUUUUAAGAAGAUAUGAAGCAGUUUAAUCACAGCUGAUAGUAAAUGUUUUUUCUCACGUUUCUCAGCAUCUCUAUCUAUGAGUAACACUGUAAAGAAAUCACCAAAAACACUGUUUUAUUGUACACAACAAUUACAAGUAAAUUAAAAUGUGUCAUGCACAUACUACAGUUAAGACAAAAAAACUCAGACAUUUUGCAUAUCAGGUCUCUGUUGCUACUGUGACCUUGUGGCCCUCACAGACUGAAACCUCUUUCACUUUGUUCACACCAGUGUUGGUCAAGUUACUUGAAAAAGUAAUUAGUUACUAAGUACUGAUUACUUCUCCAAGAAGGUAAUCCCAUUACUUUACUGAUCAGUAGCGGUUUUUGAUAUGGGCGACAUGUGCUGUUGCCCAGGGCGGCAUCGUGGUGGGAGGCGACAUCAUGGGCAUCGGCAAAAAUAAUGUUUAACGUGAUUAAAAUUUGUAAUGCAGUUAAUGCGUCUGGAGUGCAGAAUGACUCAAAAUCCCUGGAAUGUCUCUGUCGACGCAUUUAGGGCAGUUUUUCCAAAGUUUGUCAAUUCUGCGCUCCAGAUGGGCUGACAACAAACACAAAAACUGAAGACAUUAUGAUACAGACUUAUAAUUUGCACCGAUGUGUUUUCUAA
rnacentral:lncRNA from 1 species